AUCGAACGCUGGCGGCAUGCCUUACCCAUGCAAGUCGAACGGUAACGCGGGGCAACCUGGCGACGAGUGGCGAACGGGUGAGUAAUGUAUCGGAACGUGUCCAGUUGUGGGGGAUAACUGCCCGAAAGAGCAGCUAAUAUCGCAUACAACCUGUGGGUGAAAGCGGGGGAUCGCUAGGCAUCGCGCAAUUGCAGAGGACGAUAUCAGAUUAGGUAGUUGGUGGGGUAAAGGCUCACCAAGCCGACGAUCUGUAGCUGGUCUGAGAGGACGACCAGCCACACUGGGACUGAGACACGGCCCAGACUCCUACGGGAGGCAGCAGUGGGGAAUUUUGGACAAUGGACGCAAGUCUGAUCCAGCCAUGCCGCGUGCGGGAAGAAGGCCUUCGGGUUGUAAACCGCUUUCGGCAGGGAAGAAAAGGCUCCUUCUAAUAUAGGGGGCUCAUGACGGUACCUGAAGAAUAAGCACCGGCUAACUACGUGCCAGCCGCCGCGGUAACAC
rnacentral:rRNA from 1 species